CGUGUAGGCGGCCAAGCAAGUCAGAGGUGAAAGCCCUGGGCUCAACCUGGGAACUGCCUUUGAAACUGCUUGGCUUGAGACCGGAAGAGGAUGGCGGAAUUCCCAGUGUAGGGGUGAAAUUCGUAGAUAUUGGGAAGAACACCGGUGGCGAAGGCGGCCAUCUGGUCCGGUUCUGACGCUGAGGCGCGAAAGCGUGGGGAGCAAACA
rnacentral:rRNA from 1 species